UGGAGUGCCUGCCUUUCUUUGUCUAGUGAACUCCUACUCAUCUGUCAAAACUCAAGUCAAUCAAAUGUUCCCCCUUCUCUCCAAGGUCUGUUGUGAAUCUCUAUGGAGAAACAACAGCAAUAAACAUGGAUUACUUGUGCAAAUAAACCACAACAAAGAGAAUACAGAGAGGGUGGAAAGAGAGAAGCACAAGGAAGCCGCUAAAGCAAACAGCUGAGAAGAUGGCCUGCGGAGGAUCUGCUGACCGGCUGCCAGGGACGAUGGAGAUUGCUCACGCUGAGAAGCCACCGCCAUCUUGUGAGGACACUCAAGCGGCACGUGGAGAGCCCUGCGUGGGGAGAAGCAGGGCCUCCUCCAACUGCUGGCACCAACUCGCCAGCCAUGGAGAGAGCCUCCUUGGGAGCGAGCCUUCAGUCCACUCCAGCCUGUAGGUGACUGCAGCUCCAAACAGCGGCCUUCCUGCCAUCCCACAAGG